rnacentral:rRNA from 1 species
UGCCAGCAGCCGCGGUAAUACGGAGAGUGCAAGCAUUAAUCGGAAUUAUUGGGCGUAAAGGGCGCGUAGGCGGAUAGGAAAGUUAGAUGUGAAAUUUCGGAGCUCAACUUCGAAGCUGCAUUUAAAACUCCCUGUCUAAGAGGGUUGACGGAGAAAACGGAAUUCCACGUGUAGCGGUGAAAUGCGUAGAUAUGUGGAAGAACACCUGUGGCGAAAGCGGUUUUCUAGUUGAUACCUGACGCUGAGGCGCGAGAGCAAGGGGAGCAAACAGGAUUAGAUA